rnacentral:rRNA from 1 species
CACGUGGAAGACAAGCGUUAUUCAUCUUUAAUAGGUUUAAAGGGUACCUAGACAGUAAAUUAAGCAAGAGAUUGUACUAAUUAUUACUAGAGUUUAAUAUAAGAAGGGUCAGUACGAUGCGGAGUAGAGAUAGAAUUCUUUGAUACUCAUGGGGACUGGUUAAGGCGAAGGCAACCUUUAUAUAAAAACUGACGUUGAGGGACGAAGGCUCAAGGAGAAAAAAGAGGAUUAGAUACCCUCGUAUAGUGGGCAGACAAUGAUGAGUGUCAUAUGUAAGAAGUUUUCUUUUUUUGUAUAAAUGAAAGUGUAAGCACUCCACCUCAAGAGUAACAUGGCAACAUGGGAACUGAAAUCAUUAGGCCGUUUCUGAAUCUCGUAGUGAAGUAUGUUGUUUAAUUUGAUAGUCCGCAAAUAACCUUACCACAAUAUGUAUACCUUGUGGGUUAAUAUAGCUAUUUAUAUAACUUGUUGUAUAAUUUGUUGUAUAAUAUAACUAUAUUAAUUUAAUACAUAAAUGUAUUAUGUAUUAAUUUAUAUUUAUAAUUAUUAGUAACAAGCACUGCACGGCUGUCUUCAGUUAAUGUUGUGAAACUUUGGUUAGAUCCAUUAAAUUGACGUAAACCCUUGCUUUAUUUGUUA